ACCCGCUGAACUUAAGCAUAUCAGUAAGCGGAGGAAAAGAAACUAACAAGGAUUGCCUCAGUAGCAGCGAGUGAACAGGCAAUAGCUCAAAAUGAAAAUCUGAAGCAUACAGUUUCAGAAUUGUAAUCUAUAGGGCUUCUAGGGAAGGCAUGGCAAUCGCAUAAGUCCCUUGAAACAGGGCGUCAAAGAGGGUAAAAACCCCGUACAAAGCGAGAGCCGGCUGUACCGAAGGCUUCAAAGAGUCGGGUUGUUUGGGACUGCAGCCCUAAAUGGGAGAUAAACUUCUUCUAAAGCUAAAUAUUUAUGGGAAACCGAUAGCAAACAAGUACUACGAAGGAAAGAUGAAAAGAACUUUGAAAAGAGGGUUAAAAGACUUGAAAUCGUUGAGAAGGAAGCAAUAGAAAAACAAUUAUUUGUAUAUGAACUCUGGAACAUGAAAAUGGCAUUCAGUGGUUGGAGUACUUAACAGGGCUUGAUCAUUGAACAGUCACAGGUUCUGUUUCUUUUUCGUAUGCAAAAGGCAAAAUGAGGUCAAAUUGCAGGAAAAAGAGUAGAAGGAGACCCUGGUUUACCAGGAACUUUUAUUUCAAACUGUAAUUAGGCCUGAGGGUCCUGAUGGAGAUUUUGCCAAAAUGGUUUUUAUUGACCCGUCUUGAAACACGGACCAAGGAGUCUACCCCAUAUGCGAGUCUUAGGGUGCAAAAACCCGGAGGCGUAAGGAAACUGAGUAUAAGAUGCCAACAUUGUGCAGCAUCGACCAACCUUGAUUCUUCGUAUGAAGGGAUUGAGUAAGAGCAUAUUUGGUAGGACCCGAAAGAUGGUGAACUACGCUUGAGUAGGGUGAAGCCAGGGGAAACUCUGGUGGAGGCUCGAAGCGUUACUGACGUGCAAAUCGUUCGUCAAACUUGAGUGUAGGGGCGAAAGACUAAUCGAACCAUCUAGUAGCUGGUUCCCUCUGAAGUUUCUCUCAGGAUAGCAGGAACAGUACCGCAGUUUUAUCAGGUAAAGCGAAUGAUUAGAGGAAUCUGAGCUCAAAGAGUUUAGACCUAUUCUCAAACUUUAAAUUGGUAAGAACUGGCAGUUUCUUAACCGAACUGCCAGGAAGAAUGCGAUGUUCUUAGUGGGCCAUUUUUGGUAAGCAGAACUGGCGAUGAGGGAUGAACCUAACGUUGAGCUAAGGCGCCCAAAUCCACGCUCAUGAGAUACCAUGAAAGGUGUUGGUUCAUAUAGACAGCAGGACGGUGGCCCUGGAAGUCGGAAUCCGCUAAGGAGUGUGUAACAACUCACCUGCCGAAUGAACUAGCCCUGAAAAUGGAUGGCGCUUAAGCGUGGUGCCGAUACUCAACCUUUAGAGCAAAUAUGAGGCUCUAAAGAGUAAGAGGGCGUGAGCAUUGUGCAGAAGCCAUAGACGUGAGUCUUGGUGGAACAGUGUUUAGUGCAGAUCUUGGUGGUAGUAGCAAAUAUUCAAAUGAGAACUUUGAAGACCGAAGUGGAGAAGGGUUCCAUGAGAACAGCAUUUGAUCAUGGGUUACUCGAUCCUAAGACAUAGGGAAAUUCCUUGACUAAUACAAGAACUCUUGCAGUUCGUAGUCAAAAGGGAAUGAGGUUAAUAUUCCUCAAGCUAGCCGCGGAUUUUGUGUGGUAACACAAAUGAGCCCAAAGACGUCGGUAUGAACCCCUGGAAGAGUUCUCUUUUCUUUUUAACAAACUAUCGCCAUGAAAUUGGAUUAUCCAGAGAUAUGGCUUCAUGUUUGGCAGAGCAGUUCACUAUAAGAACUGUCAGGAACGUUCAUAACGACCCAUGAAAAUUUGGGGGAGAGGUAAUAUCGCGUUAGAUCGUACCCAUAACCGCAUCAGGUU
rnacentral:rRNA from 1 species